rnacentral:lncRNA from 1 species
CUCAAUUAUUUUGCUUUUGUUGAGGAAAAGCUUACAUUGCAGGCAUGUGCAACCAUCUUACAGGAACACAGAGAUAAGAAGAAGCCAGCAGCUGUCCUGCUGCUGUCACCACUGCCCUGUUGAUCAGCCAGCCCCAGGCCCAUUCCCCAUGGGACUAAAAUUUUCUACCCUCUGGACCAGUGCCCCUCCCCUACUUAAACUUCCCCACAUCAGCCUUGUGAACCCUCCUCUCAGUGCCAAUGGCCUUCUCACCCUUGGCCCAUCUGCACCUGG